GACGAACGCUGGCGGCGUGCCUAACACAUGCAAGUCGAGCGGGGAUUUAAGUGGAAGUUCUUCGGAAUGGAGAUUUAAAUUCUAGCGGCGGACGGGUGAGUAACGCGUGAACAAUCUGUCCCGGACAGGGGGAUAACACUUGGAAACAGGUGCUAAUACCGCAUAAGACCACGGCCUCGCAUGGGGCUGAGGUAAAAGGAGCAAUCCGGUUCGGGGUGAGUUCGCGUCCGAUUAGCUAGUUGGUGAGGUAACGGCCCACCAAGGCGACGAUCGGUAGCCGGCCUGAGAGGGUGAACGGCCACAUUGGAACUGAGAGACGGUCCAAACUCCUACGGGAGGCAGCAGUGGGGAAUAUUGGGCAAUGGGCGAAAGCCUGACCCAGCAACGCCGCGUGAGGGAAGAAGGUUUUCGGAUUGUAAACCUCUGUCCUAUGGGACGAAGGAAGUGAAGGUACCAUAGGAGGAAGCCCCGGCUAACUACGUG
rnacentral:rRNA from 1 species